AAUCCCCAUUUUUUGGGGGGAAAAAUCCCCAUUUUUGGGGAAAAUCCCCAUUUUUUUGGGGAAAAUCCCCAUUUUUGGGAAAAUCCCCAUUUUUUGGGGAAAAUCCCCAUUUUUUGGGGGAAAAUCCCCAAUUUUGGGGGGAAAAUCCCCAUUUUUUGGGGGGAAAAAUCCCCAUUUUUUGGGGAAAAUCCCCAUUUUUUUGGGGGGAAAAAUCCCCAUUUUUGGGGAAAAUCC